rnacentral:rRNA from 1 species
GAUGCUAAUACCGGAUAACAACACUAGACGCAUGUCUAGAGUUUAAAAGAUGGUUCUGCUAUCACUCUUGGAUGGACCUGCGGUGCAUUAGCUAGUUGGUAAGGUAACGGCUUACCAAGGCAAUGAUGCAUAGCCGAGUUGAGAGACUGAUCGGCCACAUUGGGACUGAGACACGGUCCAAACUCCUACGGGAGGCAGCAGUU